UUUAAUAUGGCAGAUUAGUGCAAUGAAUUUAAAUUUCAUUUAUGGAGAUUGAAUCUUUUAUUAAAA
rnacentral:tRNA from 1 species